GAUGAACGCUGGCGGCGUGCCUAAUACAUGCAAGUCGAGCGAACGGACGAGAAGCUUGCUUCUCUGAUGUUAGCGGCGGACGGGUGAGUAACACGUGGAUAACCUACCUAUAAGACUGGGAUAACUUCGGGAAACCGUAGCUAAUACCGGAUAAUAUUUUGAACCGCAUGGUUCAAAAGUGAAAGACGGUCUUGCUGUCACUUAUAGAUGGAUCCGCGCUGCAUUAUCUAGUUGGUAAGGUAACGGCUUACCAAGGCAACGAUGCAUAGCCGACCUGAGAGGGUGAUCGGCCACACUGGAAGUGAGACACGGUCCAGACUCCUACGGGAGGCAGCAGUAGGGAAUCUUCCGCAAUGGGCGAAAGCCUGACGGAGCAACGCCGCGUGAGUGAUGAAGGUCUUCGGAUCGUAAAACUCUGUUAUUAGGGAAGAACAUAUGUGUAAGUAACUGUGCACAUCUUGACGGUACCUAAUCAGAAAGCCACGGCUAACUACGUG
rnacentral:rRNA from 1 species